CAUUCAGCAGACGUUGGAAGAGUUAUCUUAAUGCCAUCUGGAAGUCAUGGAGAAGUACAUCUACAACCAGAAAACGGCCAGACUCCUCACCCAAGUGGAGAUUCACAAGUUAAAAGUCAUGGUUUUCAAAAACGAAUUGACGUUCCUGGAGGAAAAUAAUAACCUUCAACUUUAGCUCAGAGAGCUCAAGAAAAAAGUCAACAUCAGCUCCUUGAGUAGCCUGACAAUGAACUGUUUCAUUUGUAACUUGUAUUUGUGUGUCUUAACACAACUUCCAAAGUGCCGACAGCCGCCCCUCAAGUUCCCGGAGAGGGUGAGGAAGAAGAUCCUGGGGAAGGAACCAGCCAGGACCCCCCCGGUGAUGAGAUGCCGGCGGCCCAAAAAAAUAAGUCCAAUUAAGGUAGCAGCAGGAUUAACACACCCAACUCUACUGACACUUGCUUGGUUGCUUUUUUACAAUUCUAUGCUUUUAUGGGGAUUGGCCCCUCGCGCCUGUCCUUUAACCCAUGUUUUAUUUUGUUUUUGUUUUUACUUGUGUUUGUAUUUAUUUGUAUUGUAUUUAUUAUUGACAAACUAGUGAGCAUCCUGGAUGAUGCCAGUCACCAUCUGCAUAGUGUUAUCAGUAGCCAGAGGAGCCUGUUCAGUUCUAGACUGCUUCAUCCCAAGUGCAGGACUAAUAGACUCAAAAACUCCUUUGUCCCACACGCCAUUAGACUGUACAACUCCUCUCUGGGAUGACAGGGGAUGCAAAACAAUAACAGUGCAAUACAUUUUCAUAACAUGGUCACUACUGCCUACUUUGUCUUGUUAUAUUCUUAUUUUACUGUUAUAUUUCUGCACAAUAACUCAGAUAUGUAACACUAGCCAGCAGUAGAGAAUAUAAAGUGAUUUUUGGCCCAGGAUGUAUUUUGCUUUAUUCAUUAUUGAAAUAUUUUUUGCCACCUUAUGUUGUAUGUUUUGUAUAUGAGAUUUCCAGUUCAUUUUAUCAUCUAUUAAUACUCCCAAAAAUCUGGUUUCUUUUACCUUUUUGAUAUCUAUUCCAUCUAUUUGUAUUCGUCUCUGAUGCUCUUUUCUACUGUUACCAAAUAGCAUUAUUUUAGUUUUACUGAGAUUCAAGGAUAGUCUGUUUUUAUCAAACCAUUUUUUAAAUUUAUUCAUUUCUUCCGUUAUUAUUUGUAUUAUCUUCUGUGUGUUCUCUCCUGAACAGAAAGCAGUUGUGUCGUCUGCAAAUAAAACUAACUUCAAGUCUUUUGUAACUUUGCAAAUAUCGUUUAUAUACAGAUUGAACAAUCUUGGUCCCAGUAUUGAUCCCUGGGGUACACCACAAGAUAUAUCGAAUCGUGUUGAACUAUUUUCACCCAUCUUCACAUAUUGCUUCCUGUUGGUUAAAUAACUUCUUAUCCAGCUCAAGACCAAACCUCUGAUGCCAUAACGUUCUAGUUUUUGAAUUAAAAUAUCAUGAUUAAUUGUGUCAAAUGCUUUUGUUAAAUCCAUGAAUACUGCGGCUGCACAUUCCUUACCGUCUAUUGCAUUGCUCAUUUCCUCUGUUAUUUUGAUUAAUGCUAUUGAAGUUGAGAUAUUUGCUCUAAAUCCAAAUUGGUUCUCCGCGAGCGUCCCACUUUUAUUGAUAAAUGUAUCUAAUCUACUAUUGAAUAGUUUUUCUAUGAUUUUGGAGAAUUGUGGAAGUAAUGAAAUUGGUGUGUAUUUAGUGAACUGGUGUGUGUCUCCCUUCUUAUGAAUUGGUACAACUUUAGCAAUUUUCAUUUUGUCAGGGAAUUUGCCGGUAAAAAAUUAUUCGUUACUAAUAUAUGUAAGAGGUUCUGAAAUGUCUUGUAUAACCUUUUUUAUUGUUAGCAUAUCUAGUCCAUGACAGUCAGUUGAGGUCUUAGAUUUACAAUUAUUUACAAUUUUGAUUACUUCUUCUUUUGUCACCUUCUUUAAAAACAUGGAAUUGGGAUUUCUGUCUAUGAGCUCACUCAAGUCCUCAACUGACCCAUCAUCUGCUUUUGGAAUUCUUUGUUCCAGAUUUUU